rnacentral:lncRNA from 1 species
GCUGGAUGGAGGUUGAUUGACACUCCCCAACCCCCCACCUCCGAUCUCCAAGCGGAGUUUGUCGGCAGCAACAGGCACGGGUCUUUGGGAGGCUCAGGAAGGGACUGGUGAGUGACCUCAGCAGCCCACCAGCAGGUAGCCAAGGGUCGCCCUCUCUUCAGCCCCUGAUGCCUCUUCCAGAAAAAACAAACCACAAAGCCAGCUGAAGAAAGUGUCUCCAGAAGAAGGUGUGUGCAACCAUACCUUUAAUCCCAGAUGACCUUGAACUCAGAGAUCUCCUUAUCUUAAUCUUCUGGAAUUCAUAGCCACUAUACCUCAAGAUCUCCAUGCCAAGAUCCA